UGAAUACCGAUCAAAUAUAGAGAACAGUCUUCUUCUUAGCGAAAGUACAUUCACAAUAGUAAUGACUAAUAAAACAUUGGCGCAUACAGGAGGGUACGAAGAAAUUCGGGGAAAAGAGGUUAACGUCCUCUUUAUGAGAAUUAAAUAUGUCAUUUUGAAGUCAGACGCUAGUUGCCAAAGCUGUUUGGAGGAAGGCGAAGAGGAAUCAUCCAAGCACUUCUUCCAUCAAUGUCCAGCAUUCACCAGACUUAACAUAUCUUCGGCGAUCCCAGCGAAGUGACUGGACAUUAGCCGACUUAAGAGCUUUAUUACAUAGUCCUAGCGUUUUUUCGCAUCAUAAGAGUCUUAGUGAUCCGUUAGUAGUUUUCCGGGUGUCACAAUGGACAGUCGAAUCUGUCUAAGUGAGAUUCUCUGCAUCUGCGGAGAUCUACCCCUUAACCUAACCUAACUUAACAUAAAUAUAACAUUUUAAAUAACAUCUGAAGAACCCAAAGCGAAGUAAAGAUUAACAGCCUAAUAAUUGAAUUAUAUUUAUAAAUAAAACACAAGAUUUAUUAAGUAUGGAACGCUAAGAUUUAUUGAGAUUAAAUUUGCAAUAAACAUUCAGUAACAUUGUGUAUGAUGAACGCAUUUUAAGCAAAUUAUUGAAUUCAGUGCUACAAUGCUAUGCCUUGCAAUAGAUAAUUAGAAGCAUAUUGGUUAAUAAAUUUAUUGUGUAAGUAUAUUCUCAUUAAUUCAAGCGGUCGAAGUUGUGGGCAGUGAAGCCAAAACCUCAUCAAUAAAGCCGUCGGGAUUUUCAAUCAAAUGCA